UAACAUGAGAGUUUGAUCCUGGCUCAGGAUGAACGCUGGCGGCGUGCUUAACACAUGCAAGUCGAACGGAGUAAUUAA
rnacentral:rRNA from 1 species